UCGUCAUGGAAGCUGUAGUGUGUCACAAUGCGUCCCACAGUAUACCCCUUUGUCCACACAUCUUCACAUUAAAAUGUUCAUUGCAAGAAGUCAUUAGUCUGCUUUGAGGCCUCUGGCCUCCACUGGAUCCUCAGCAGGGCUCCUCUUGGUUAUCCUGUUGUUGUCCCAAGCCAUGGAGAUCCUGCAGCUUUGGAUCAACAAGACCAGCCGGUUCACAAGCUUUAGCAGUUGAUAGAUAAGGACUUUCGUGUUAUUGAAUAGGAGUGGGCUUCCCUUACUUGUCCCUGACUGCAGAGGAAGACCUCUCAUGGUUUGAUUGAGUUGUAAAGUAGCCAAGCGUGGUGACAAACACCGGAAACACUGGCACUUGGGAGGAUAUGCUAGAAUGGGUCCAUAAAACCAGCCAAGAGGAGCCUCGGCCCUUUUUCUUUUAUAGUAGAUGUUGCAAAACUGUGACCAGCGUUGGAUCUCAGCCCACAGAUGUGUUUCGUUUGGCUCACAUGGCAUGAUUUAAAAUUUUGAAUGUUUCCAACAUUUAAGAAUAAAAAAAUCUUACAUAAAAAUUCGGAUUUCUAGCUUACUUUGGAAAUCAGAUCUGGCUCCUGUCCGGGCUCAUGUUUCAGCAUCAAGUGUGGGCUGAGGGUUAACCACCCUGGGGAGUGGGGCGGGGCAGGGUUGAGCCCAGAUAGUUCCUUGGACUUGCUUGGCUUCUGCAAACAUUCUAAUCCUGUAACUUCAGUCCAUUCACCCGGCCUACAGUGCUUUAAGACCAGGCUCUAAACCCUUGGACCCAGGGUCCAAACAGGACCUCAGUUUGCUAAUUUGUAAACUGGAUGGGGAUAGUCCAAGUUAAUGGGCUACAUGCCCAUGCUACCCUUCAGUCUGAAUCUCCCACCAUCUUCUGCUUCCAUGUCUGAGCCUGUGUGGAUCACUUACUUGUACCUUGUAAAGUUUGGAGCCAGCAGCACAGCUGAAGCCCCCGCUGAAGCUCAGUGAUAUCUUUCACUUCCAGCAGAUAUGAUGGUGUGUGCACUCUAGUACUGGGUACAAAAUUCUGUUUUUGACUGGGAGAGAGGGUAGGCUUCAGACAAACACUUGAGUAAGUAGACAAGUCUGUAGUCUGGUUAUGCAGAUUUGGUGUGCAUACCAUGUUGUGAGGAGCUGCUGUCCUCGAUUUCCUUUAUAUAUCAAUAUUCAUCUUAUGGAAGACACACAAUAAAAUACAUAUAGGUCUAGGGGAGCUCAUAUCCUAUUAAAGUCCACUGCCAAAGCAUGUGAGAAAGUAUAGUUUAUCAUUGGUGUGUUCAAAAACAAGACAAAGCUUACUUUCUCUUUGAGAUCUCUAGAUAUAUUAAAAAAUAAGAUUCUGACUCACCGACACCAGCCAUGAAUGAAUGACAAUUUUAAAUGCCUUUUGUGAACUCAAGCUGACUGCCUAAACACAUAAAAAACGUGAUAGUACAAAGCACGCUUAUGCCCAAGAGAGAAUACAGUGUCCAUAACAAGCACUGUCACAGUUCCAGGUUUUAAGGCUGCAGAUAAGGGGGAACCGCAUUUCUCUGUCUCUGUCUUCAGAGCAGAUGCUUUUCUGCCGAGUCACUACUCUAACAGUUAGUCAUUGAUAACUUAUUAUUUUUAGGAUCAUAAAAUACACAGUAUCAUGCUAUAUUGUAAGAUAGGAUACAGUGUACAUCCUCAGAAGAGCGUGGCUGUGUUUUUGAGAUUUAUUAAUU